rnacentral:rRNA from 1 species
GAUGAACGCUAGCUACAGGCUUAACACAUGCAAGUCGAGGGGAAACGACAUCGAAAGCUUGCUUUUGAUGGGCGUCGACCGGCGCACGGGUGAGUAACGCGUAUCCAACCUGCCCAUCACUUGGGAAUAACCUUGCGAAAGUAAGACUAAUACCCAAUGACAUCCCACGAAGACAUCUGAAUGGGAUUAAAGAUUUAUCGGUGAUGGAUGGGGAUGCGUCUGAUUAGCUUGUUGGCGGGGUAACGACCCACCAAGGCAACGAUCAGUAGGGGUUCUGAGAGGAAGGUCCCCCACAUUGGAACUGAGACACGGUCCAAACUCCUACGGGAGGCAGCAGUGAGGAAUAUUGGUCAAUGGGCGAGAGCCUGAACCAGCCAAGUAGCGUGCAGGAUGACGGCCCUAUGGGUGGUAAACUGCUUUUAUAAGGGAAUAAAGUGGGUCUCGUGAGACUUUUUGCAUGUACCUUAUGAAUAAGGACCGGCUAAUUCCGUG